GGGGUGGAGGAAGGGUGGAGAUUAGUAGGGAAAAAAGUGUCACUAACUGGUGCCUCUUUAAAUGAACCCAAAUCCUCAUGGAUCCUAAUCGGGUUUUUUAAACCUCUGAGCCACGAAGGGAACUCCUGUGUUUUCUUUAUCUUGGUAAACUUCCUUGGUGAGUGAUCAAUGAUUUUAGACUAUUUUGUUGAGCACUUGGCAAAUACAUCACUAAUCUUUUUCAUAUUAACGUUAAACUAGUUUAACCGGUUAGCUUUAUAUUCCGUUUUCUUCCUUUGUCUGUGAUGGGUGCAGUAGUGAGCGGUGACGUGAUAUCAAGACGUUUCCCUCAGGUCCCUCCUAACUGUCCUCUUCAGGUGAUGAGCGAUGGGCUGGAUGGACCGGAACCUUCUGCUCAUCAUGAAGAAAUUUGCCCAGAGCUUAUUUCUUUUUUUUUCUUUCCUUUCUUUCUUUUUCCUAUUUCUUGGGCUGCUGCCAAGGCAUAUGGAGGUUCCCAGGAUAGGGGUCUAAUCGGAGCUGUAGCCACCGGCCUACGCCAGAGCCACAGCAACUCGGGGAUCCGAGCCACAUCUGCAACCUACACCACGGCUCACGGCAACGCUGGAUCCUUAACCCACUGAGCCAGGGCAGGGGUCAAACCCACAACCUCAUGGUUCCUAGUCGGAUUCGUUAACCACUGCGCCACGACGGGAACUCCUCUUUUCUUUCUUUUUUUUUUUUUGCAUUUUAGGGCUGCGAGGCAGCAUAUGGAAGGUCCCAGGCUAGGGGUCAAAUGAGAGCUGCAGCUCUUGCCCUACACCACAGCCACAGCAGGGAGGGAUCCAAGCUGUGUCUGCACUUACACCAGUUAGAGCUUAUUUCUAAGCUGACUCCUUACAGUGUUUCCUGCACCCGUGGAUAUAAUGUUGCAAUUCUGUAUUUUGAUUUUUUAAAAUUUUAUUUAUUUAUUUAUUUAUUUUUGUCUUUUUUUGCACCACACCUUUGGCAUAUGGAAGUUCCCAGGAUAGGGGUCAAGUUGGAACUGCAGCCCCCGGCCUACACCAUAGCCACAGCAAGGGAUCUGAGCCACAUCUGUGGCCUCAUAACAGCUCACGGCAAUGCCAGAUCCUUAACCUACUGAGCAAGGCCAGGAAUGGAACCUGCAUCCUCAUGACUACUGUCGGGUUCCUUAAGGCUAAACCACGAUGGGAACGCCAGACAGAUCCCAUUAGAGAAUUCAGGCACACCUGAUUUCUGUUCCCUCUUCGCAAACUGCCUCAUGAAUGUCUCCCAUGUGGGCCACAGGGAGCCCCCUUGUAACAUGGAGAUGAGAGGACAGAGCAGCAACGCCUUCUGAGCAGCACUGACCCCUGAAAGGAUUGGCCUAAUUGGGUGUGUGUUUGUUUGGGGCACUUCUCUUUGGAGUUAGAGUUUUAAAGGGGUCCUCGUCCUCCCAGCAGGAAGGAGAAGAGCAGAAAGGCUGCCGUGGAGGCAGGACUAUAGGCUCGGAGUAAGAGAGACCAGAACGAGUGUCUCCUGCAAACCCGAAGGGAGUCGACGUGUUUCCUGAUGCCCAGACCUCCGCAGGCUCUUCUUGGGCCUCAGGACAGACCCCGACUCCUCCCUGUGGUGGCACAGCCCUGUGUCGCCCUCAGGGCCCUGCCUGUGUCUGCAGCCCCGUCCUGGGAGCAGACCCAGUGCUGCGGGUUCACUGCCCGGGGCACAGUCUCCUUGUCUGUCUCAGCUCUUCGUUCCUCUUCUUCCCCUUUGCCUUUCAGGCACCAGGGCUCAGGCCCUUUGUCGCCCUUCAGAUCUCGGCUCAGAGAGGUCCCCUGUCCUCCUGACAGUCUCUGCUGCCACCUUCAGUGUGUUUGAUGGCCAGUAUAUCAACCCCUGUCAUCAGAAAUUCCUGUCUCUGUGGAUUAUUGACUCUUUUCCGUCUGUUCUGUUGUCCCUCCAUUGAAGGGAGCCCAGUGUCCCUGCUCCUCCCAGGGGGGCUGCAGCAUCUCCCUCUGGGGAUGCAUUUAUCUUUAUUUAUUUACUUUUUUUGAAUAAUUUCACGGUUGAGGGGAAUUUUGUUGUUGUUGUUGUUUUUGUCUUUUUGCCUUUUCUAGGGCCGCCUCCCGAGCAUAUGGAGGUUCCCAGGCUAGGGGUCUAAUUGGAGCUGUAGCCAUCGGCCUACACCACAGCCACAGCAACGUGGGAUCCCAGCUGUGUCUGCAACCUACACCACAGCUCACGGCAACGCCAGAUCCUUAGCCCACUGAGCAAGGCAGGGAACGAACCCGCAUCCUCAUGGUUCCUAGUCGGAUUCGUUAACCACUGAGCCACGACGGGAACUCCGAGGGGAAGGUAUUUUUAUCUUUUAGGUUUUUAUGGCUGAACUUGUGCUAUAUGGAGGUGCCCAGGCUAGGGAUGGAAUCUGAGCUACAGCUGCCAGCCUACAUCUCAGCCACUGUGACACCAGAUCCGAGCCUCAUCUGCGACAUACACCAUAGCUCUCACCAACGCCAGAUCUCCAACCCACCACGCAAGGCCGGGGAACGAACCCGUGUCCUCAUGGAUACCAGUCCGGAUCAUUACCACUGAGCUGCAAUGGAAGCUCCUGGGGAUGUGCUUAAAUUCUGGGGCUGUGGUGGGGCUGAGUCAUCCUCCUAGAAGAGCAAGGAAGGAGGACAAGCAAGGAGGAUCAUUCCCAUGUUUGAUCUAAUUGGAUUUUUUGUCUUUUUAGGGCCUCACCUGCAGUAUAUGGUGGUUCUCGGGCUAGGGGUCCAAUCGAAGCCGUAGCUGCCAGCCUACGCCAGAGCCACAGCACCUCCAGAUCCGAGCCGCGUCUGUGACCUCCGCCAUAGCUCAUGGCAACGCCUGAUCCUUAACCUACUGAGCGAGGCCAGGGAUCGAUCCUGUGUCCUCGUG
rnacentral:lncRNA from 1 species